rnacentral:rRNA from 1 species
UACGUAGGGUGCAAGCGUUAUCCGGAAUUAUUGGGCGUAAAGAGCUCGUAGGCGGUUUGUCGCGUCUGCUGUGAAAAACUGGAGGCUCAACCUCCAGCCUGCAGUGGGUACGGGCAGACUAGAGUGCGGUAGGGGGAGAUUGGAAUUCCUGGUGUAGCGGUGGAAUGCGCAGAUAUCAGGAGGAACACCGAUGGCGAAGGCAGAUCUCUGGGCCGUAACUGACGCUGAGGAGCGAAAGCAUGGGGAGCGAACAGG